UACGUAGGGGGCAAGCGUUGUCCGGAAUCAUUGGGCGUAAAGCGCGUGUAGGCGGCUUGGUAAGUCUGCUCUGAAAGCCCGGGGCUCAACCCCGGGAGGCGGGUGGAUACUGGCAAGCUCGAGUCCGGAAGAGGAGUGUGGAAUUCCUGGUGUAGCGGUGAAAUGCGCAGAUAUCAGGAGGAACACCAAUGGCGAAGGCAGCACUCUGGGACGUGACUGACGCUGAGACGCGAAAGCGUGGGGAGCGAACAGG
rnacentral:rRNA from 1 species